rnacentral:lncRNA from 1 species
AACCUUUGCUGUCUUGGAACAGAUCACCACUGCAAGAGGGGAAGUUGCUACUGUGAUGAAUUCUGCCAUGUGGUACCAGACUGCUACCCAGACCACAGUGUCCUCUGCAACCCUCGUAACUCACAUACAGGCCUGAUUCCACCUACAGCAAAGCUGGAUGCUAUGGUUGGCAGAGGCAAACCCUUUGCCUGCACUUCAGGCCAAAGCCGGGAUGUGGCCUAGAUGGUUCCUAAGGUCCCUGACAAUCCUGAGAUCUUGCAUCUUGUCUAUUUCAGGUCAAAGCUUCUCAGAUGACCAAGAUGGUGCUGCAGAUGGUGCUGAGGAUGGAGAACCCACCAAGCCCCGCUAGGAGCCACCUAGACUGGAUGUAGAGCAUGGUGAAAAUGGAGGUUUCCUCCUCCUGCGGCUGAGUGUGGCUUCCCUGGAAGACCUCACUGACCCCAGAGUGGCAGAAAGGCUGAUGCAGCAGCUCCACCGGGAACUCCACGCCCACGCGCCUCACUUCCAGGUCUCCUUACUGCGUGUCAGGAGAGGCUAAUGGACAUCAGCUGCAGCCAGGCAUGUCCCGUAUGCCAAAAGAGGGUGCUGCCCCUAGCCUGGGCCCCCACCGACAGACUGCAGCUGCGUUACUGUGCUGAGAGGUACCCAGAAGGUUCCCAUGAAGGG